rnacentral:misc_RNA from 1 species
UGUAAAGAUAUAGGGAUUAGACAAUUUGAGUUUGCGACAAAAACUCAGUUCAUUUAAAUCAAAAUUUUGAGCUGAUACUUUGCAAUCAUCACCCGGAUUAACCUACCCCACAAUAUAUUUGAUCCAAUCAUUUAAGUCCAUGUAUUGAUUACAGGUAAAGAAUUAAAAAAAUCCUUAGUAUAAAGUUUACUGAACAAUGAAACUUCAGUUUAAACGUGGAAAUUUAGGAAAAUGUUGAAACUGUUCUGGAUAUUUCUAUUUUUAAUCCAAUGCUCUAAAAUUCGAGGAAAAUGUGAUAAACAAUAUAGAGGUUAUUUUAUGACCUUUACUUACGACGGAGACAGAGAUGUAGAUGAUUCAUAUCGUGCAACAUGCUAUUCUGGAUAUUACUUCAUGUGGAAUGGUAAAGCAUCUGAUUCGAAAACUGCAACAUGUAUAAGGUCAGGGGGUGAUGAUAUCUGGAAGUUCAGCGAUGGCAGCACCAAAUUGGGCAAUUGUGAAUCAGCGCCAGCAUGUGAUGAUUCUUUGAGUCUAGGACGUCAGAUGACUUCAGAUUUUUCCUCUUCAAGAAUACUUGUAGGCUCCGAGUUCACUGUCACCUGUAAUACAGGAUAUAGAUUCUUCAAAGGUUCAAGCGGAUCCUAUACCACCAGUACCACUAAAGUUGGUACCUGCAACAAAAAGUACUAUGAUGGUUGGUGGAUUUAUUACAAAUGGGAAUACGGUGGGAGUUCUGAAGUAGGAGAUUGUGACCCUGAGAAUUGUCCAACUCCAAUACCACUUGGUCAGCAAAUGACUUCUGAUUUCUCUUCUACCCUGUUUGGAAGUGAGUUCACAGCAACCUGUAACGUUGGAUAUGCAUUCUUCAGAAGUUCUGGUGGAAGUUCCUUUAUAGCCUCAACUACUAAAACUGCCACUUGUAAAUAUAGUUCUCAAAACUCAAACACAUAUUGGUCUUACAAUGAUGGCACCCAGAGUUUGGAUAACUGUCUAGAAUAUUGUUCUGCUUCAAUACCAGCAACACCUACACAAUCUAGACUGACCUAUUCUCUUGGGGAAGGAAAGAAUAUAGUGGGUCAAGUACUAACAUACAUCUGUGAUACUGGGCAUGAAUUCAAAACAGCAGUUCCUGCAGGCUCUACCAGUCAAGAUCCAGUCCUUACAAAUGUGAUUAAGUCUACCUGUACUAGUUCUGGAAGUGUCAUCAGACAAUGGGUUUUAGACUACAAUCCAUUACCAGGAACUUGCGAAAGAAUAGUUUGUCCAAACCCUACAACUUUGUCAUCUCCUGAUGGAAUACUGACUUUAGUCUCCAAUAGCACAAUAGUCAAAUAUGAAGAUCAAGUCAGCUGGGAAUGUUCUAACAAAAGAUUUUACAUUAAAAAGAGCAGUGGAGGCCAGGCAUCAGCGUCAAAAUCAUUUAAAUGUAAAAGUGAUAAAACAUAUUCUGAAGACAUAAGCCAAUAUGAAUGUGUACCAAACUUUUGUGAACCAUUAGAACCAGAACAGAGUCUCAACUUUUCAUACUCAUGGGAUAAACAGUACAUAGCCAUUGGUUCUGAAUUUACGUACAGCUGUAAGAGCGGAUAUGCUUUAGAGAGUGAUGUAGACAGUAAAACUAAAGCAGAUGAUGCUAUUCAAGUCACAUGUGAAAAUGAUGGAGAAUUUGGAUAUCCUGCGCCUUGGCCACAGUGUUAUGAUAGAGUUUCCUGUGGAUCUCCUCCCAUUACACCAACUAAUGGAACAAGAGAAUGGAUACAAAGAGCUGAGAAUGAUACCAUGUAUGAAGCUAAAAUUAAUUAUACUUGUAAACUGGGAUCCCAGUUUGACAGAGAUGGGGAUGGAUUUGGAGACACUCCAUCCAUACAAACUGAAUGUCUUUGGAAGAAAUCCUGGUCUCCUUCUGUGCCCAGCUGCAAAGUCACUCAUUGCCUUGAACCUGCAACCCCUAAUUCAUCACUCAAUGUAAACUUUUCCUGGGAUGAAGAAUUGGUUCCAAUUGGAAACAGUUAUACAUACUAUUGUUAUUCUGAUAUGGCAAUUGAAAGUUUUACCAAUAAAAAAUCAGAAGCAUUAAACUACUUUAACGUAAACUGUGAUCCAAGCGGGGAAUAUGAAUAUCCAUUAUACUGGCCACAGUGCUCUGCAACAAUUCUAUGUAAAUCCCUUCCAAAUGCUACCAUUGAUGGUACAAGAGUGUGGGUCAAGGGUGCAGAUGGUGAUAAAUCAUAUGAGUCUAAGGUGGAAUAUUUUUGUACAAGGGGAUCUCAAUUUGACACAGAUGAAGAUGGAUUCGGGGACAGUUUAUCUAUAGUUAAUGAGUGUCUCUGGAAAAAAGAAUGGAGCCCAUGGUCAGUACUUCCGCUUUGUAAAAUAACUCACUGUUUGGAGCCACUAACACCAGAGUUGUCCUUAAACUUCAACUUUUCUUGGGGUAAUGAUAUGGUAGCUGUGGGGGAUAAUGUUACUUACAACUGUCAAAUAGAUAUGACUCUUGAAGCAAACACAACCUUAAAAUCAGAAUCAGUUACGAUGAUUAAUGCUAGCUGUAAUUCAGAUGGAACCUAUUCCUAUCCUCUGACAUGGCCACAAUGUUCAGAAACUAUAUCUUGCGGUACACCACCUUCUGUUCCAGUUAAUGGCUCUCAGAUCUGGAUUAAUGGGACUGAACCAAAUGAUACUUAUGAUACUGGUAUUCUUUAUAAAUGUGUAAAAGGCUCUAAAUUUGAUACUGAUGGUGAUGGAAUCGGGGACAGUGAUAAUGUAACAAUUAAUUGUCAAUGGAGAAAAACCUGGAGUCCAUGGCCUGUCCUUCCUAAAUGUAUUAUAACCCAUUGUGUUGAUUCUUUUCCCAUACCUGAAGAUUCCAAUUUAGAGGAGGCUAAAACUGGUUGGGUUCCUAUUAACACACUAAAGUGGUACCAGUGUUCAGGAAAACUUCUGAAUGGAUCCCAUACAAAAUUUUUUGAGUCUGAUAGAUCUAAAACAUCAUUUUCUAUGUUAUGCCUGUCAAAUGGAUCCUUUCAAUUUGUUAACUCAAGACAAAACUGGCCAACCUGUUUAAGUACAGUUUAUUGCGGACAACCCCCAAAUGCAUCAGAAAAUGGGGUUAGAACUUGGAUGAAUGGUAUAGAGUUUAAAGAAUCUUAUGGUACAAAAGUCUCAUACCAAUGUGUCAAAGGUUCUCAGUUUGAUACUAACAGAGAUGGAAAGGGAGACAGCCUUUCUAUCGAAACAGAAUGCAUGUGGAAUAAAGCUUGGACACCUUGGUCAACUCUACCAAAGUGUGUUAUAACACAUUGUGUUAAUCCUUUUAAAAUACCUUUAAACACAUCUUUAGAGGAAUCAACUUCGGCUUGGACAGAAAUAAAUAGAAAUAAAGAGUAUAGAUGUUCAAGAAUGAAAAAUGGCAUGCACACACAAUUUUUUGAGAAUGAUCGUUUCAAAUCCUCUUUUUCAAUGCGAUGUUUAGAAAACGGAACAUUUGAUUUUGUUAAUGAUACUGAACACUGGCCUAUGUGUCUGGAAGAUAUUGAAUGUGAAAAACUUCCACCAUCAAUUCCUACUGAUCCUGAAUACCUGGAUCCUAAAGAUGAUGGAAAAGUAAUCAUAAAUAAGUUGAACUACCCAACAGGAAAUGCACAGAAUUUAGUAUUCACUUCUGAAAGAAAUAACACAGAGAUUGCAAGAAACUACAUGGCAAAUUUAACGUAUUAUUGUGGAGCUGCUAGAAAUUUCAAAGACAAAAAUGGUGUUCAUCAUGAUAUCCAUAAAAUGACUUGUCUCUGGGAUAGAAACUGGACUGCAAUCAAUGUUCUGGACCCAUGUGACUGGAUUCAGUGCUUAAAACCUCCAAUUCCACCAAGCUUUACAAACUUAAGGGUUACUGAUUGGGAUGGUAAACCAAUCAAUUUUGGAGAUAAAAUCACAUAUGUGUGUGAAAAAGGAUAUCAGUUUGAAGAUGACCAGAAUCAGGUUAGCAUAUCAUAUCAAUGUCAAGAUGGAGUAAGACCAGAAACAACCCGUGGGUUCUUUAACACCCCAGCAGCUGAUGAUCAGUGGCCUAUGUGUACAAAAGGUCCAUUAUGCAACUUUCCUCCAAAUCCACCGUUUGAGGGUACACUUGAAAAUAUUCCAAUCAUAUUUCCAAAAGAAGCUGAAGAGGCCUGUGACAUCGAUGGCAAUCGAGUUGACAUUAAAUGUCCUUCCUUCCUGAAUAUUUAUAUAACCUCGGGUUAUUAUGGAAGACUUAAAGGAAGUACUGUCCUUUGUAAUGGAAAUAAAGAUUCAGUAUCAAUAACAGAAGACUGUUUAAAUCUGCAGAUUGUUGAUUCAUCAAGAACAACUUGUAUUUCUAAGUAUAAUUGUACAAUCCCUGUUGAUACCACAAUUCAAACCUGGAAACCACCUUGUGACAAGAAACAGAAGAAUCAGUUGAUGCUAAAUUAUGUUUGUGUUCGAUGCAGGGAUUGGGAUAUUCAUGUUGUGGAUCAAAAUUGUAUUUCCAAAGCAUUGAUAUUAAAUUUGUGGAGAACUACAGCAGAUCUUAUGAAUGUAGCUCAAGAGGACAUGAAAACUAUUCUCAUAGAAGAGCUUAGCAAACAUCUGGACAAUAAAGAACACUCUUUACAAGAUUUGAGUGACAGGGAUGUAAGUAAGACUGAUGGUUCUCUGUGUUCGCUGGCUUUUAUGCAUCUUGCUCUCAUUGAUUCAAUCAAAACAGAAAGUCAAAUGACAAAUUUAUCUUAUGAUACAAUGAAGGAAACAAUUGUCGAGGAAAUAAUGAAAGUAAGAAACUUAAAUGGCUCAACUUAUGAUAUCAACCAAAAGGAUGAAGUUCAUCUGAAUAAUUUUAAGCAAGUUGUAUGUGGUGACAACCCAGUUAAAUCAGAUUCAGUCGGCUCUAUUCCAACUCUGAGUGCAGAAGAUACUGAAGAAACAAGAGACAUGAGAAAAUAUGGAGCAAAUCUUAGAUAUGAAUGUGGUGUAGCCAGAAAAUUUCAGAGUAAGGAAACUUCUAAAACCUAUGAUGAGAGAUGGAUGACCUGCAAUUGGAAUACAAGCUGGUCACCAAUUGACACUCUAGAUGAGUGUAAGUGGGUUCAAUGCAUUAAUCCACCAAAGCCUCCUGUGGGAAGUGAGUUAUCCUCUAUGUGGGAUGGAAAUCCUGUUGAAUUUAACUCUUGGGUCGGUUACAACUGCAAGAAGGGUUUAUACUUUGAACUGAAUCGAGAUUUACGCCAGUGGAAUAUGACUUGUCUUCCAGGUGGUUAUUGGCAAGUUCCCGAAGUCUGGCCUAGGUGCUUGGCAAGUGUGAACUGUACAGAACCACCUCCACGUCCCAAUGCUGGAACCUGGGAGUGGAAUCAUUCAUACAAAUAUAAAACCCAGAUCCAGUAUACUUGUGGACCUUAUGGAAAGUUUAAAACUGCAAGUGGGAUAUUAAAGGCUUCAAUCAUAGCAGAAUGUAACUGGAACAAAACCUGGACACCUGCUGCUUUGGAUCCUUGUCAAGCGACCAGAUGCCAAGAUAUUCCUGCCCCACCACGAAGCUCUGGACUAGUUUAUAAGCCUGAUCCUAAUAACCCCCUCCCAAACACAGGUGUUUGUCUGUAUAGCCCUGAUGUUCCAGCCAAGCUGCCAUUUCCUGGAGAAAGCUUUUGUUCCAAAAAUACUAAACUUAUGCUAGUUGGAUACAUACCUAAGACAGUAAGACAUGUACCAGCAUUAUUAGUUGCUUCUAAUAUGAGCAAUGAAGGUAUACAUAUCAACCUAAACUUGAAGAACCAGGUUAUACAAAGAUACAGUGUAACUAAUGGAACUAAGUCCACUAUUGAUGGAUUGCCUGGUGAUGGAACCAGUAUAGAUUACGAUGAACCGUUUGUUCUAAACCUCAGCUGUGAUCAGGAUGGAUGGAAUCUGCAAAUUAACAAUGAGCCAAGUUAUCUUACUGUUUUUCAUGCUAUGCCAGUGGAUAACCUCACAGAGAUCAGGGUAACUGGGGAUAUUGUUGUCAACUACAUUGGGAUUGGAGAUAAAGGUCAAGAUCCAGCGCCCCCUGUUGGGUUUAACCUAACCUAUGUCUGUCCAGAGGGGCAAGUAUUUGACAGUGAUUGGUAUGCUACACCAUUCGUUAUGAUGACAUGUCAGAUUGACAGCUCCUAGACCCCUCUCCCCCCCGCACACAAUUUUCUUUCUCGGCAGAUGGUGUAUUUGAACCGAUAGACUGGUCGCAUUAUCAAUGUGUUUUACCAACAACUACUGAGUGUUAUGAUUGCACAACUACAA